UCGAGAAUUUUUCACAAUGGGGGAAACCCUGAUGGAGCGACGCCGCGUGGGGGAUGAAGGGCUUCGGCUCGUAAACCCCUGUCAUUUGCGAACAAGGCUUACGACCUAACACGUCGUGAGUUGAUAGUAGCGAAAGAGGAAGAGACGGCUAACUCUGUGCCAGCAGCCGCGGUAAUACAGAGGUCUCAAGCGUUGUUCGGAUUUACUGGGCGUAAAGGGUGCGUAGGUGGUGAGGAAAGUCUGAUGUGAAAUCUCCAAGCUUAACUUGGAAAUGGCAUUGGAAACUACCUUGCUAGAGGAUUGAAGGGGGGACUGGAAUGCUCGGUGUAGCAGUGAAAUGCGUAGAUAUCGAGCGGAACACCAGUGGCGAAGGCGAGUCCCUGGACAAUUCCUGACACUGAGGCACGAAAGCUAGGGGAGCAAACAG
rnacentral:rRNA from 1 species